rnacentral:rRNA from 1 species
UACGGGGGGGGCAAGCGUUGUUCGGAAUUACUGGGCGUAAAGGGCUCGUAGGUGGCCAACUAAGUCAGACGUGAAAUCCCUCGGCUUAACCGGGGAACUGCGUCUGAUACUGGAUGGCUUGAGUUUGGGAGAGGGACGCGGAAUUCCAGGUGUAGCGGUGAAAUGCGUAGAUAUCUGGAGGAACACCGGUGGCGAAGGCGGCAUCCUGGACCGGGAUUGACACUGAGGCGCGAAAGCCAGGGGAGCAAACGGG